rnacentral:lncRNA from 10 species
GCUACUUCAAAAAUAAUAAUUUUUGUCAUAAUAAUAUAUAACUUAGAUAAUACAAAAACAAUAAAAAAAUUAAGUCUAAAACUAAACAUUGACUUAGUUGCUAAAACCAUUAUUCAAAUGACAAUCACCCUCCAUUGAGGUGCCCAGUUGAGAGAUGAUACACACAAAAGGGUUCACUAUAUGAGGUGCCAUUUUAACACGAAAUUUAUUAGCAGUAAUUUAAAACAUUGCUUGAAGUUACUUUAUACAAUUGCCACAUGCUUUCUAAUUUGAUUUCCAUGUGGUUGUGAUACGCUGGUAAAGGUAAACUAGCUUGAGGGUUAGUAUACUCAAAGGAGAAGAGCAGGUUAUAUUAUUAGCUCUGCUUACCAGGGCGUUUUGGUUUUCUUUUGUUUUUAAAAUCAAGACUUUCUCUUAUUUCAUACCUCCGUGGGAGUAUAGUUGCUUAGUAACCCUGCACUGACUGGGGGCUGUUGCUCUCGGAGCUAUACCCGGGAGGAACCUGCGUGUGAAGGAGACCGCUGUCAGCAAGCCUACACUCAGAGGAUUUACCCGGUGCAGAGAGCUCCAAGAGAACACCAGAGCCCCUGGUAUUCUGGUUCACUUGAAUUUGUCCUCCUGCCUAUUCCAUAUUUUUUUCACACAUACAAUCAUUUGUUUGCAGUCUGGAAAUAUAAAACCAUUCAAGAAAUGGAGGCCCAACUAUUGGCUUCCCGAUUAUUCUACAAACUCUAUGAAAUCCUUGUUCUUCGUUGCACAAUUAGCUGUGAAACAGACAGAGGUUACCUACAAUAAGGUCACCAACUUGAACAGACCCUUCUUGCUCUGUCCCAAGGACAAAGAAGAUGGCUGGUGCGUUCCCCUCCAUGAAGAAUUUGCUGGCAUUUGAAAGAAAUGGUCAGUAGAAGAUUCACUGGAUGGUGAAAUUCUUUGUGCCUGGGAUGUGUUCAGUCUGUUAUUCUGUUGCACCGGGAAAGAAGGCCCAGGGUCUUAUUUCAUUCUGGAGCUUUUUGAAACUUUUUACUCUGUACUUUAAUUUUGGCAACCUUGGACUGAUGGGGUUUGUAGAUAUUAAUUAUCAAAUUGUUAUGUAUUAGCUGAUAUUCUUUCAAUUCAAUAAGUAUUUUAAAUCCUUUGUGGUGUCCAUUGAAUAUGUUACCAGGAAACUGAAAUAAUAUUUUCAGUCUUCCUCUUUUUUCUCCACAAAAUAGAGACAAGAAAACUAUACAUAGCUGAUAGUUAUUUUCUCUCAGAAAUUCAUAUAUAUUAUUUUUAAGGGCUU